UACGUAGGGGGCUAGCGUUGUUCGGAAUUACUGGGCGUAAAGCGUACGUAGGCGGCUUGGCAAGUUAGAGGUGAAAGCCCGGAGCUCAACUCCGGAAUAGCCUUUGAGACUGCCUCGCUUGAACGUCGGAGAGGUGAGUGGAAUUCCGAGUGUAGAGGUGAAAUUCGUAGAUAUUCGGAAGAACACCAGUGGCGAAGGCGGCUCACUGGACGACUGUUGACGCUGAGGUACGAAAGCGUGGGGAGCAAACAGG
rnacentral:rRNA from 1 species